AGCCCUGAUGGCUCAGCCAGGAACAGUACCUGACUCGUAAUCAGGGGGUCGGGGGUUCAAAUCCCCCUCGGGGCUU
rnacentral:tRNA from 1 species